GACGAACCGUGCAAACGUUGUUCGGAAUCACUGGGCUUAAAGGGCGCGUAGGCGGACUCGCCAGUCUGUGGUGAAAGCCCCCGGCUCAACCGGGGAAGUGCCGUGGAUACUGCGAGUCUGGAGGAGGGUAGGGGCAUCUGGAACGCUGGGUGGAGCGGUGAAAUGCGUUGAUAUCCAGCGGAACUCCGGUGGCGAAGGCGAGGUGCUGGACCCUUUCUGACGCUGAUGCGCGAAAGCCAGGGGAGCAAGCGGG
rnacentral:rRNA from 1 species